rnacentral:rRNA from 1 species
GACGAACGCUGGCGGCGUGCUUAACACAUGCAAGUCGAACGGAAAGGCCCUGCUUUUGUGGGGUGCUCGAGUGGCGAACGGGUGAGUAACACGUGAGUAACCUGCCCUUGACUUUGGGAUAACUUCAGGAAACUGGGGCUAAUACCGGAUAGGAGCUCCUGCUGCAUGGUGGGGGUUGGAAAGUUUCGGCGGUUGGGGAUGGACUCGCGGCUUAUCAGCUUGUUGGUGGGGUAGUGGCUUACCAAGGCUUUGACGGGUAGCCGGCCUGAGAGGGUGACCGGGGAGAGGGGGGGGGAGGGACGGGCCAGAGGGGUAGGGGGGGCAGCGGGGGGGAAUAGGGCGCAAUGGGCGGAAGCCUGAGGCAGCAACGCCGCGUGCGGGAUGACGGCCUUCGGGGUGUAAACCGCUGUCGCCGGUGACGAAGCGGGAGUGACGGUAAUGGGUAAAGAAGCACCGGCUAACUACGUG